UACAGAGGGUGCAAGCGUUGUUCGGAAUUAUUGGGCGUAAAGGGAGUGUAGGCGGCUAGGACAGUCUUCUGUGAAAUCUACGGGCUCAGCCUGUAACGUGCAGAGGAAACUAUCUGGCUAGAGUGUCGGAGAGGAUAGGGGAAUACCCAGUGUAGAGGUGAAAUUCGUAGAGAUUGGGUGGAACACCAGUGGCGAAGGCGCCUGUCUGGCUGACAACUGACGCUGAGACUCGAAAGCAUGGGGAGCAAACAGG
rnacentral:rRNA from 1 species